UACGUAGGAUCCAAGCGUUGUCCGGAUUUACUGGGUGUAAAGGGUGCGCAGGCGGACUUAUAAGUCAGUGGUGAAAUCUCACAGCUUAACUGUGAAACUGCCUUUGAUACUGUAGGUCUUGAAUUAGGGAGAGAUUCGUGGAAUUCCGAGUGUAGCAGUGAAAUGUGUAGAUAUUCGGAAGAACACCAGAGGCGAAGGCAGCGAAUUGGCCCUAUAUUGACGCUCAGGCACGAAAGCAUGGGGUUCAAACAGG
rnacentral:rRNA from 1 species